AAUUAUACAGAGAAUGACGA
rnacentral:snRNA from 1 species